rnacentral:rRNA from 1 species
CCCCUAGUAACUGCGAGUGAAGCGGGAUGAGCUCAAAUUUGAAAUCUGGCGGCUCUGCCGUCCGAGUUGUAAUCUGGAGAAGCGUUUUCCGUGCCGGACCGUGUACAAGUCUCUUGGAACAGAGCGUCAUAGAGGGUGAGAAUCCCGUCUUUGACACGGACUCCCGGUGCUCUGCGAUGCGCUCUCGAAGAGUCGAGUUGUUUGGGAAUGCAGCUCAAAAUGGGUGGUAAAUUCCAUCUAAAGCUAAAUAUUGGCGAGAGACCGAUAGCGAACAAGUACCGUGAGGGAAAGAUGAAAAGCACUUUGGAAAGAGAGUAAAACAGUACGUGAAAUUGUUGAAAGGGAAACGCUUGGAGUCAGUCGCGUCUUCUGGAACUCAGCCUUGCUUCUGCUCGGUGCACUUUCCAGUUGGACGGGUCAGCAUCGGCUUCGGGGGGCGGACAAAGGCGCGGGGAAGGUGGCAGCUCCGGCUGUGUUAUAGCCCCGCGCUACGCGUCCUCCGGGACCGAGGAAUCCGGCGCUCGCGCCUGGGAUGCUGGCGUAAUGGCUUUAAGCGACCCGUCUUGAAACACGGACCAAGGAGUGCUACAUGCUCGCGAGUGUUUGGGUGGAAAACCCGAGCGCGCAAUGAAAGUGAAAGUCGAGACCCCUUGCGGGGGCACCGACGCCCGAGCCUGAAGUUUACGGACGGCCUUGCGGUAGAGCGAGUAUGUUGCGACCCGAAAGAUGGUGAACUAUUCCUGAGGAGGGCGAAGCCAGAGGAAACUCUGGUGGAGGCUCGUAGCGGUUCUGACGUGCAAAUCGAUCGCAGGACUUGGG